rnacentral:rRNA from 1 species
GUCGGUGGCGAUGGCGCUGGGGAAACACCCGAUCCCAUUUCGAACUCGGUAGUUAAGCCCAGCUGCGCCGAUGGUACUGCAGGGUCUCCCUGUGGGAGAGUAGGUCGCCGCCGCUU